UACAGAGGGUGCGAGCGUUGUUCGGAAUUAUUGGGCGUAAAGCGCUUGUAGGCGGCACGUCAAGUCGCGUGUGAAAUCCCCAGGCUUAACCUGGGAAGUGCGCGCGAAACUGACGAGCCUGAGUGCCGGAGAGGGUCGCGGAAUUCCCGGUGUAGAGGUGAAAUUCGUAGAUAUCGGGAGGAACACCAGUGGCGAAGGCGGCGACCUGGACGGACACUGACGCUGAGACGCGAAAGCGUGGGGAGCAAACAGG
rnacentral:rRNA from 1 species